CUCCUCUGUCCUCUUGCACCUUGGCUCCCCAUUAUUCGAUCCGAUCUCCUACCAUGACACAGCACGGCGACGAGCAGUACCAGUCGGGUCGUUGCCCUGAGCGGCCGCCAUGGACCGCCUCCCGUUGACGGUUCCCCAUACAAGGAGAACCUCGACCCGGAGAUGAAGAUUGAGGAGGAGGGGGGAAGAGAAGGAUAUGGAGGUGGCCAGGGGGAGACGAGGUCGAGGGGGUUGGCAGCACGACCACGACGUGCACAGCGGUAAUGGGGAGGCCCUCCCGGUGGAUGCUGCAGCUCGACCCGGGGCACUUCCUCCCUCCCCAUGGAAAGAUCGCUGUGGGUGCUCCCUUCCUUUAGAUCCCGGUCGGAGAAGUGGGGCUGAUGCGUGAUAGGGAGGAGCGCUGGGAUGUAGGUGGUCCUGGCCGCGCCAGCCAUGCUGUCGCCCUGAGCCGGCCGCCGCCAUGGAUCCCAUCGCGUUGGUGGUGUCCGAUACAGGGCCGACGAACGCGUUCGAGGAGGAUCUCGAACUGCAGAUGCAGAUAACAGAGGAGGAGGUGGAGGAGGGGCCGAGGGAUAAGAAGAGAAGGAUAUGGACCUGGUCCUUCAUGCUUCUUUCUUUCUUUUUUCCUUCAGGCCUGCAACUGGCGGUUCCAGUGUGAGCCUAUGUCCCUGCAACUCUCUCUCACCUUCAUGCGAGGUUUUGAUGAUUCUACUGGUAUUGAUUUUCUUCUUCUCUUAAUUAUUCUACUUACUUUUGAGACCAUGAAGCGCCGCCGCCACCACCAUCUAAUGCGGCCCUCUGUGGCUGGGAGUUCACGCCACUGCUUUUCGAGGGCUAAGUUAUGCCUCGCGCUGGGAGCCGCCUCCGCCGGUUCGUCGGGAUUGGCGCGUCUUAGGCGCCGCCGCCGUCCGCGCCGAACACGUCUCUGCCCACCAGGCCGCCGCCCAUAUCCACACAGUGCAGAUUUCCGGUCUUGGUGAUGCAAAUGCAGAAUGGGGGCUUCACGGUUCCUACCUCCGCACCAGCCCUGGCAACGACAAGGUCAUGCAAAUGCAGAAUGGGGGCUUCUUCAAGAUGCUGUCAAGAUCUGAUGCAAAUCGUAUUGUUGGCAUGGGCUGGCCAUUCUAGAUGGACGGAUAUGGUUUUCCUGUUAACCUCCCACCUAUGGAGGACGAUUCUUGGGCUGGUGUGUGUAUGGGCGGCUCUGAAACUACUCUAUUCAAAUAUCAGUGAAUUGUGCAGCAAGACUAUGAAAAUGAUGUUUUCCCUAUGAAAAUGGAUAUUUGGUGAUGUCAUAGUCUCCAUCUCAUAACUAAUGCUAAAUGUAGGGAUUGAGUUAGUGAAAUAUAGUUUACUAAGGGCAUAAACAAUCAAGCUUGAAUAGAUCAUUGAGGCAGUGUAUUUGUUUGAUUUCAACAAGUGCUAUUACAAAUCUAACAGAUGUACCUAUACAGUAAGUUUCCACCAUUGUGGGCACUAUUAUUUCAUCUAUUUUUAAUCUAUGCAAGAAUGUAAAUUCUCCCACCAGAA